rnacentral:rRNA from 1 species
GACGAACGCUGGCGGCGUGCCUAAUACAUGCAAGUAGAACGCUGAAGGAGGAGCUUGCUCUUCUGGAUGAGUUGCGAACGGGUGAGUAACACGUAGGUAACCUGCCUGGUAGCGGGGGAUAACUAUUGGAAACGCUAGCUAAUACCGCAUAACAGUAGAUGUUGCAUGACAUUUACUUCAAAGGUGCAAUUGCAUCACUACCAUAUGGACCUGCGUUGUCUUAGCUAGUUGGUGGUGUAACGGCUCACCAACGCGACGAUACAUAGCCGAACUGAGAGGGUGAUCGGACACACUGGGACUGAGACACGGCCCAGACUCCUACGGGAGGCAGCAGGAGGGAAUCUUCGGGAAUGGACGGAAGGCUGAACGAGCAACGCCGCGGGAGGGAAGAAGGGUGUCGGAUCGGAAAGAUCUGUUGUAAGAGAAGAACGAGAGUGAGAGUGGAAAGUUCACACUGUGACGGUAGCUUACCAGAAAGGGACGGCUAACUACGUG